AGAGAAGAACGUUGGUGAGAGUGGAAAGCUCAUCAAGUGACGGUAACUACCCAGAAAGGGACGGCUAACUACGUGCCAGCAGCCGCGGUAAUACGUAGGUCCCGAGCGUUGUCCGGAUUUAUUGGGCGUAAAGCGAGCGCAGGUGGUUUAUUAAGUCUGGUGUAAAAGGCAGUGGCUCAACCAUUGUAUGCAUUGGAAACUGGUAGACUUGAGUGCAGGAGAGGAGAGUGGAAUUCCAUGUGUAGCGGUGAAAUGCGUAGAUAUAUGGAGGAACACCGGUGGCGAAAGCGGCUCUCUGGCCUGUAACUGACACUGAGGCUCGAAAGCGUGGGGAGCAAACAGGAUUAGAUACCCUGGUAGUCCACGCCGUAAACGAUGAGUGCUAGAUGUAGGGAGCUAUAAGUUCUCUGUAUCGCAGCUAACGCAAUAAGCACUCCGCCUGGGGAGUACGACCGCAAGGUUGAAACUCAAAGGAAUUGACGGGGGCCCGCACAAG
rnacentral:rRNA from 1 species